CAGUAGCCGCGGUAACACGGAGGGUGCAAGCGUUAAUCGGAAUUACUGGGCGUAAAGCGUGCGUAGGCGGUUCGUUAAGUCUGUUGUGAAAGCCCCGGGCUCAACCUGGGAAUGGCAAUGGAUACUGGCGAGCUAGAGUGUGUCAGAGGAUGGUGGAAUUCCCGGUGUAGCGGUGAAAUGCGUAGAGAUCGGGAGGAACAUCAGUGGCGAAGGCGGCCAUCUGGGACAACACUGACGCUGAGGCACGAAAGCGUGGGGAGCAAACAGGAUUAGAUACCCCGGUAGUCCCUGUCUCUUAUAC
rnacentral:rRNA from 1 species